CAGGACGAACGCUGGCGGCGUGCUUAACACAUGCAAGUCGAACGGUGAAGGGACUGGUUUUGCUGGUUCUGGAUGAGUGGCGAACGGGUGAGUAACACGUGAGUAACCUGCCCCCUUCUUCUGGAUAACCGUAUGAAAGUGUGGCUAAUACGGGAUAUUCUGUGCCUGCUGCAUGGUGGGUGUGGGAAAGAUGCGCCUUUGGGUGUUUUUGGUGGGGGAUGGGCUCGCGGCCUAUCAGCUUGUUGGUGGGGUGAUGGCCUACCAAGGCGGUGACGGGUAGCCGGCCUGAGAGGGUGGACGGUCACACUGGGACUGAGACACGGCCCAGACUCCUA
rnacentral:rRNA from 1 species